CCUCGCACCCCCGGCACGAGCCGCUGCGCCCCGAGCCCCGAACGGCGGCGCUGAGCGGAGCUGUCAGCCCCGGAGCGGCCAGAAGCUCAGAAACCAUACCCACUUCAUUAGCGUGGCAGCAGGGACUGUCAGCCCUUUCCUUUGAGGUUACUAAUGAAGCUCAGUGCCUGACGGUGCUGUUGGCAGCAGGCAGUGUGAUGGGUCAGUGGGAUCGGAGUGCAUCCCGGCUGUCACACUGGGACGCCCCCAUGUGCCCCCAUGUGCCCCCUGAGCCCGGCCGCGCUUUGGAGAGCAGCAGAGCUGCGGGGGCACAGCACACAAACUGUUAACUUUUCUUCACUCUGCUCACAAAUCCAUUUCUUCAGCCGAUGCCAAAGCAUGCGUUCCUCUAUCAAGACCAUAUGUACGCCAAGACUGAGGUUUUAAAGUCAAGGUGUUUGUGAAAUAUUGGAGUGCAAAUUAAGUAUCUGAGUAAUCCUAACUGUCUUCUCGAAAAAAUUCGCUAUCAGCUUCACUUAUUACUCCGAGGAUUAAUGGAAAGCUAAACUUUGAUCCGGGUCCAACAGCUGAUACCAGCCAUGAGGCUUUCCAGGCCUGAGAGCAGCGCAGAGGAAUCCGGCGGGCGGCUCUGCUGGGCGCUGCUCCAUCGGCACUGCGGCUCUGGGGCCGAUGCGGUUUUUGUUCUCAGCCCCUUAAAGCCUUCUGGUGUCACCUCUGUGCCGUAGCACCAAACGCUGCCUGGAGGGGCUGAUGUUGCACAGGGCACUGCAGGCUGCAGCCCCUCGCCCUGCGCUGCCCACAUCCCUGCCUCCCUCACCCUCAGCGCUCUGUCUGCCCAGAGAAAGGAACUCAUCCCUGCGUGGCUUAAGAAGGAUGAGGGGUGCAGAGCAUCCCAAUGAGCAGCGCUGGCGUGGCGCAGCUCAGCUGGGCACCGAGCACUGCGCUCCCAUUUGGUUCCUGCUGCUGCCCUGAGUGCAUUCUCUGACCCCUUCCCACCUUUCGCAGCGCUCUGUGGGGUCACUGUCAGAGAACUCCCGGUGGGGUUUUCCCUGUUGGAUUGAAGUGUGCUGUGGGAUGCAGGGAGCUCUGGGCUGGCUGCUCCGGACUCGGCCUUCACAGAAGCACCGGAGCCCUUUGAGGACAGAACUUCAUUACUGCCACUCUUGCAGUCCUGUCUUUGGUGAUGCCAUAAUUCCUGGUUGUGGUGCUUGAACAAAACCCCAACCCUUAUGUAAAUGCCCGAUUGCUUAUCUCCAUCGCUCGGCUUCCUGCAAUUUAGUAACACAGAAGCUGCAGUUCCAGUGCUUGGGGUGGAGAGAGUGAAAUGGGAGCACUUCUCUUUUUUUUUUUUGACACAAGCUGUGGCUGCAGCUCAACUCCUCGGUGUUGGGGUCCUCUCGGAGAGCGUAAUUAGGAACACAUUGAUUCUUAUUGCAGCUGGCAGCUGCUCACUAUUGCCUUUUUCAGCUUCUGACCCCCAUAGUCCCGCUGACCUUUCCUGGGGUUAGUCGUGGGCCCUUUGCAUUGUGAUGGGCUAGAAGUGGCUCAUGUGGAGUUGAUUAUUUCCUUGCUUGUCUGGCCUUUUUGGUGCCAUAACUCCAAGUCACUUCCAUUUUCUUCCCCUGCUUUUGGCUGACCACAGUGAAAGGAAAUGCUUUUGCUGGCGACAGGAUCAGUUUGCAUGCUUGACUGCCUCGAUUGAGACCCUGAAAAGGGGGGAGGGGGAGGGUAAUGAACACUGUAGGUGCUGCAUUUGCUUCUUAAAGGCUGAUGCUAAUGACUGAGCGAUCAUUAAGCAUUCAUAAAAAUGGCGCUGGGGCAGCUUGGGAUCGCUCUGGGCACCCUCAGCCCCGUGUGCAGGUGUGUGUGUGUGUGUGUGUGCAGUGUGCAUGGGGUGUGCACUGUGCUGUGCAGUGACAGCAGUGCUGCACUCCGCGCUGCGCCGCAGAGCCCCGCACAAAGCUAAUGAAGUCUCUGUGCCAGCUGUUACACUCAUUUUGCCGGACCCCAGGAGGAC
rnacentral:lncRNA from 1 species